rnacentral:rRNA from 1 species
GACUAGGACGAACGCUGGCGGCGUGCCUAACACAUGCAAGUCGAGCGAGGAGAUCCUUCGGGAUGAUCCUAGCGGCGGACGGGUGAGUAACACGUGGGCAACCUGCCUCAUAGAGAGGAAUAGCCUUCCGAAAGGGAGAUUAAUACCUCAUAACAUUGCAGUUUCGCAUGGAACAGCAAUUAAAGGAGUAAUCCGCUAUGAGAUGGGCCCGCGGCGCAUUAGCUAGUUGGUGAGGUAACGGCUCACCAAGGCGACGAUGCGUAGCCGACCUGAGAGGGUGAUCGGCCACAUUGGGACUGAGACACGGCCCAGACUCCUACGGGAGGCAGCAGUGGGGAAUAUUGCACAAUGGGGGAAACCCUGAUGCAAGCAACGCCGCGUGAGUGAUGACGGCCUUCGGGUUGUAAAGCUCUGUCUUCAGGGACGAUAAUGACGGUACCUGAGGAGGAAGCCACGGCUAACUACGUGCCAGCCGCAGC